rnacentral:rRNA from 1 species
AUUGAACGCUGGCGGCAGGCCUAACACAUGCAAGUCGAACGAGUGGCGGACGGGUGAGUAAUGUCUGGGAACCUGCCUGAUGGUGGGGGAUAACUACUGGAAACGGUAGCUAAUACCGCAUACCAUCGGAUGUGCCCAGAUGGGAUUAGCUAGUAGGUGGGGGAAAGGCCCACCUAGGCGACGUUCCCUAGCUGGUCUGAGAGGAUGACCAGCCACACUGGAACUGAGACACGGUCCAGACCCCUACGGGAGGCAGCAGUGGGGAAUAUUGCACAAUGGGCGCAAGCCUGAUGCAGCCAUGCCGCGUGUAUGAAGAAGGCCUUCGGGUUGUAAAGUACUUUCAGCGGGGAGGCGUUACCCGCAGAAGAAGCACCGGCUAACUCCGUGCCAGCAGCCGCGGUAAUUC